AUAAGCAAAAUAAGGGCGUAUGGGGAAUGCCUAGGCUCUCAGAGGCGAAGAAGGACGUGAUAAGCUGCGAAAAGCUACGGGGAUUGGCACACACGAAUUGAUCCGUAGAUAUCCGAAUGGGGCAACCCAGUAUGUUGAAGACAUACUAUCCAAUAUGGAGGCGAACCCGCUGAACUGAAACAUCUAAGUAGGCGGAGGAGAAGAAAACAAAAGUGAUUCCGUAAGUAGUGGCGAGCGAACGCGGAAUAGCCCAAACCAAAGUUGUUACGGCAAUUUUGGGGUUGUAGGACCACGAGAUUUCUUGCGGAUUUAAUUAGAAUUACCUGGAAAGGUAAACCAAAGAGGGUGAUAGUCCCGUAUUGGUAAGAGAAGAUAAGAAUAGUGGUAUCCUGAGUAGGUCGGGGCACGUGAAACCUUGAUUGAAACUGGCGGGACCAUCCGCUAAGGCUAAAUACUCCUGAGAGACCGAUAGUGAACCAGUACCGUGAGGGAAAGGUGAAAAGAACCGUGAAUAACGGAGUGAAACAGAUCCUGAAACCAUACGCCUACAAGCGGUCGGAGCCCCUUAGUGGGGUGACGGCGUGCCUUUUGCAUAAUGAGCCUACGAGUUACCGUUGCUGGCAAGGAUAAGUGAUUAAGUCAUGGAUCCGUAGCGAAAGCGAGUCUUAAUAGGGCGCUUAAGUCAGUAGUGGUAGACGCGAAACCGUGUGAUCUACCCAUGGGCAGGUUGAAGUUUAGGUAACACUAAAUGGAGGACCGAACCGUUUAACGCUGAAAAGUUUUCGGAUGACCUGUGGGUAGGGGUGAAAGGCCAAUCAAACUCGGAAAUAGCUCGUACUCCCCGAAAUGCAUUUAGGUGCAGCGAUGAUCGAUAGUUACUUAGAGGUAGAGCUACUGAUUGGAUGCGGGGGCUUCACCGCCUACCAAUUCCUGACAAACUCCGAAUGCUAAGUAAUGAUAGUCAUCAGUGAGGGCAUGGGUGCUAAGGUCCAUGUCCGAGAGGGAAAGAACCCAGACCAUCAGCUAAGGUCCCCAAAUGUAUGCUAAGUUGAAAAAACGCGGUUUGAUUGCCCAGACAGCUAGGAUGUUGGCUUGGAAGCAGCCAUUCAUUUAAAGAGUGCGUAACAGCUCACUAGUCGAGCGAUCGAGCAUGGAUAAUAAUCGGGCAUAAGUAUACUACCGAAGCUAUGGAUUUGCGCAUUUAGUUGCGUGAGUGGUAGGGGAGCAUUCUAACGGCGCAGAAGGUGAUUUGUGAGAAUUGCUGGAGCUUUUAGAAAAGAAAAUGUAGGCAUAAGUAACGAUAAGGGGUGCGAGAAACACCCCCGCCGUAAGACUAAGGUUUCCUCAGCUAUGCUAAUCAGCUGAGGGUUAGUCGGGACCUAAGGCACACCCGAAGGGGGACGUCGAUGGCCAACGGGUUAAUAUUCCCGUACUACUAAUAAUUGUGAUGGAGUGACACAGUGAUGAAAGCACCGCGAACUGACGGAAUAGUUCGUUGAAGCACGUACCUAUAGGUUUGAUAGUAAAAUGCGUCAGACUUGGAGAAAUGCGAUAGUACUUUGAGUCUUCGGACAACGAGAUAGUGUGCCUAAGGGCUGUCAAGAAAAGCUUCUAAACUUAGAUUAUUAGUACCCGUACCGUAAACCGACACAGGUAGUCGAGGAGAGUAUCCUAAGGCGCUCGAGAGAUUCAUGGCUAAGGAACUAGGCAAAAUAGACCUGUAACUUCGGGAGAAAGGUCGCCAGCGCAAGCUGGCCGCAGUGAAAAGGUCCAGGCGACUGUUUAUCAAAAACACAGGGCUCUGCAAAAUCGUAAGAUGACGUAUAGGGCCUGACACCUGCCCGGUGCUGGAAGGUUAAGAGGAGAUGUUAUC
rnacentral:rRNA from 1 species